AGGGUUUGAUCAUGGCUCAGAUUGAACGCUGGCGGCAGGCUUAACACAUGCAAGUCGAGCGGGGAGAUGUAGCUUGCUACAUUACCUAGCGGCGGACGGGUGAGUAAUGCUUAGGAAUCUGCCUAUUAGUGGGGGACAACAUUCCGAAAGGAAUGCUAAUACCGCAUACGCCCUACGGGGGAAAGCAGGGGAUCUUCGGACCUUGCGCUAAUAGAUGAGCCUAAGUCAGAUUAGCUAGUUGGUGGGGUAAAGGCCUACCAAGGCGACGAUCUGUAGCGGGUCUGAGAGGAUGAUCCGCCACACUGGGACUGAGACACGGCCCAGACUCCUACGGGAGGCAGCAGUGGGGAAUAUUGGACAAUGGGCGAAAGCCUGAUCCAGCCAUGCCGCGUGUGUGAAGAAGGCCUUUUGGUUGUAAAGCACUUUAAGCGAGGAGGAGGCUACUUAGAUUAAUACUCUAGGAUAGUGGACGUUACUCGCAGAAUAAGCACCGGCUAACUCUGUGCCAGCCGCCGCGGUAAUAC
rnacentral:rRNA from 1 species